rnacentral:lncRNA from 1 species
UCAUAUUCUUGUUCUUGUGAAUUGAAUAUACGGACGACAUUACUUAUACGUCACGCCGCAACUUUCAUACCACCGAACAAAAUAUAUUAUAAAAGUACAAAACUUAAUUGAAUUUCAUGAGUACUUUUCCCAGUAACAGCUCUUCAUUUCUUUUUCACGUUUAUAAACAACAAAAGAAAAUUCAUCGCAGAGCUAAUAAGAUGAACGUGAAAGUAUGAAUCAUGUGAUUGUAAUAGAAUCAGUAAUCACUAAUCACGGGUUUUUGAUGACAGUUUCAUUGAUUGAAACUGAUUCCAGCUAUUCCAACUUAUAAGAAAGCAAUGUAUUUCCUCGUUUAAGCAAUCUGCAUCGAAAACUCAAUGGGGACUACACUAAUAGCAAACAGCAGAUGCAAAAUUUGAAUAAAAGGAAAUGUUAUUGGAAUGAAAUUUACCAAAACGUAUAUUAAUUUCAGCAGUUAUAAAAUCGCGAAGAACAAUGUGUAACCCGAUCACUGAAGAACAAAGGUAUGAUUUCUUAAGAAUUACAGUAAAUUAGAUGAAGAUUAGAAGAUCGAAAGUUUUUGAAGUUUUCAGAUAUGGUCGCCUUGGCCGUCAUCAGCGCGGAGAUCUGCCUCAGACUUCUUCUCUGAUCCUUAAGACUCACAUCCUCUAUCGACUAUGAUUAAAGCCCUCCCUCUUCCUUUCUGGUUUCAACUCCUGGUUCUACAUCUAAGAGCUCUGUACAUCCAUUCCCUUUGACACUCUCCAAUCCGAGCUCCGGUCACACCUUGCAUUCUUCAAACGCGAAGAUUUUUGAUCUCAUCAAUCGUUAGUUUAAGUACUAAGUUCGUUGUUAUCGAUGAGGUUGAAGUCUGCAUGUGUGCCCAGCUCAUUGGUUUUCGUGAGAAUUAUAAGUGAAGUAAGGUUAGAGUAAUAAAGUGCAGAAAAUAAACAACACAUAAGUUUUUCUUUUUGAAUUUACUAGAACAAUAAAGCGUUUACACCAAUCUUUUCUAGAUUUUGAUUAAUCAUGAUCACCUAAUCUCAAGCUAAACUCUCCCUAAAUCUAGAUUUCAAUUUUCAACAUUCUGGAAGUACGUCAACAACUACACAAGCACCUAACACAAAAUAGUGACACCAAAAGUUUCAUCACACAAUCAACAAAC